rnacentral:rRNA from 1 species
UACGUAGGGGGCUAGCGUUGUCCGGAAUCAUUGGGCGUAAAGCGCGUGUAGGCGGCCCGGUAAGUCCGCUGUGAAAGUCGGGGGCUCAACCCUCGGAUGCCGGUGGAUACUGUCGGGCUAGAGUGCGGAAGAGGCGAGUGGAAUUCCUGGUGUAGCGGUGAAAUGCGCAGAUAUCUGGAGGAACACCGGUGGCGAAGGCGGCAUCCUGGACCGGUAUUGACGCUGAGGCGCGAAAGCUAGGGGAGCAAACGGG